rnacentral:rRNA from 1 species
CCUACGGGAGGCAGCAGUAGGGAAUCUUCCACAAUGGACGAAAGUCUGAUGGAGCAACGCCGCGUGAGUGAAGAAGGGUUUCGGCUCGUAAAGCUCUGUUGGUAGGGAAGAAAGAUAGAGGUAGUAACUGGCCUUUAUUUGACGGUAAUUACUUAGAAAGUCACGGCUAACUACGUGCCGGCGGCCGCGGUAAUACGUAGGUGGCAAGCGUUGUCCGGAUUUAUUGGGCGUAAAGCGAGUGCAGGCGGUUCAAUAAGUCUGAUGUGAAAGCCUUCGGCUCAACCGGGGAAUUGCAUCAGAAACUGUUGAACUUGAGUGCAGAAGAGGAGAGUGGAACUCCAGGUGUAGCGGUGGAAUGCGUAGAUAUAUGGAAGAACACCAGUGGCGAAGGCGGCUUUCUGGUCCGUAACUGACGCUGAGGCUCGAAAGCAUGGGUAGCGAACAGGAUUAGAUACCCCAGUAGUC